UCGAGAAUCUUCCGCAAUGGGCGAAAGCCUGACGGAGCGACACCGCGUGCAGGACGAAGGCCCUCGGGUUGUAAAGCACUUUCAGUUGGGAAGAGGAAGAUGUUGCGAAUAGCGGCAUUGGAAGACGUUACUAACAAAAGAAGCACCGGCUAACUCUGUGCCAGCAGCCGCGGUAAUACAGAGGGUGCGAGCGUUAAUCGGAGUGACUGGGCGUAAAGGGCACGUAGGCGGUUUAUUUAGUCUGAUGUGAAAUAACUAGGCUUAACCUGGUAUCUGCAUUGGAAACGGAUAAGCUAGAGUAUUGGAGAGGGAAGUGGAAUUUCCGGUGUAGCGGUGAAAUGCGUAGAGAUCGGAAAGAACACUCGUGGCGAAGGCGACUUCCUGGCCAAAUACUGACGCUGAGGUGCGAAAGCGUGGGUAGCAAACAGGAUUAGAUACCCGAGUAGUCCCUGAGCGGGCUGGCAAGGCGCAU
rnacentral:rRNA from 1 species